GGGGGUAUAGCUCAGCUGGGAGAGCGCUUGACUGGCAGUCAAGAGGUCAGGGGUUCGAUCCCCCUUAUCUCCACCA
rnacentral:tRNA from 2 species